rnacentral:rRNA from 1 species
UACGUAGGGUGCAAGCGUUAAUCGGAAUUACUGGGCGUAAAGCGUGCGCAGGCGGUGAUGCAAGACAGAGGUGAAAUCCCCGGGCUCAACCUGGGAACUGCCUUUGUGACUGCAUGACUAGAGUACGGUAGAGGGGGAUGGAAUUCCGCGUGUAGCAGUGAAAUGCGUAGAUAUGCGGAGGAACACCGAUGGCGAAGGCAAUCCCCUGGGCCUGCACUGACGCUCAUGCACGAAAGCGUGGGGAGCAAACAGG